rnacentral:rRNA from 1 species
CAGGGAAUCUUGCACAAUGGGCGAAAGCCUGAUGCAGCAACGCCGCGUGAGGGAUGAAGGCUUUCGGGUUGUAAACCUCUUUCAGGAGGAAAGAAAUUGACGGUACCUCCAGAAGAAGCCCCGGCUAACUACGUGCCAGCAGCCGCGGUAAUACGUAGGGGGCUAGCGUUGUCCGGAAUUAUUGGGCGUAAAGAGCUCGUAGGCGGUUCAGCAAGUCAACUGUGAAAUCCCGUGGCUCAACCACGGAACUGCAGCCGAUACUGCUGUGACUAGAGUCGUGUAGAGGAGAAUGGAAUUCCCGGUGUAGCGGUGGAAUGCGCAGAUAUCGGGAGGAACACCAGUAGCGAAGGCGGUUCUCUGGGCACGUACUGACGCUGAGGAGCGAAAGCGUGGGUAGCAAACAGGAUUAGAUACCCCCGUAGUCC